UACGUAGGGGGCAAGCGUUGUCCGGAAUCAUUGGGCGUAAAGAGCGCGUAGGCGGUCCGGUAAGUCCGCUCUGAGAGUCCGGGGCUCAACCCCGGGAGGCGGGCGGAUACUGUCGGGCUAGAGUCCGGAAGAGGCGAGUGGAAUUCCUGGUGUAGCGGUGAAAUGCGUAGAUAUCGGGAGGAACACCUGUGGCGAAAGCGGCUCACUGGACCACAACUGACGCUGAGGCGCGAAAGCUAGGGGAGCAAACAGG
rnacentral:rRNA from 1 species